CAUGAUUCUUCAUGAUUUCACUGAAGUGAACAAUUUGACUUCAGUGUGGGUUUGAAACUCCUCUGUCCACUGCUGUCCACCACAAAGCCGUCAUUAGUGAAUGAAAUGGAAGUCAUGGUGUGGCUGUGUUUCUCUCUUCUGCUCUGUUUUCUUGGUCAAUGCCAUAGACAAACUCAGUUUAUAUGAAAGAUUAUAAAGGAAAGUUGGCAUGCGAAACUAAAAAAUGGCAAAUAAGUGCAGAGUCUGAUAACAGGAUUGAUCUGAACUGCUCACAAUGUGAAUACAUUGAAAUUAAGCCUGAUGAUGAUGAUGAUGAUGGUGAUGGUGAUGAUGGUGAUGAUGAUGGUGAAGACAAUGACAAGCAAAAAUUUUGCAAACAGUCAGAUCCUGACUGUGAACUGAAAGUAAAGAGUGGAUUUGUUGCCUGUGUUAAAUCUCUGGAUUCUGGAUUCCUUUUUCCAUUCAAACCGUCUCCCAACAUCAUCCAUUCAUGCAUGGUUGCUGUUCCA